UACGGGGGGAGCAAGCGUUGUUCGGAUUUACUGGGCGUAAAGGGCGCGUAGGCGGUCGUGACAAGUCACUUGUGAAAUCUCCGGGCUUAACUCGGAACGGUCAAGUGAUACUGUCGGACUAGAGUACAGAAGGGGCAACUGGAAUUCUCGGUGUAGCGGUGAAAUGCGCAGAUAUCAGGAGGAACACCGGUGGCGAAGGCGGGUCUCUGGGCAGUAACUGACGCUGAGGAGCGAAAGCGUGGGUAGCAAACAGG
rnacentral:rRNA from 1 species